rnacentral:tRNA from 1 species
GUUGUCGUGGCCCAGUGGUUAAGGCUAUAGACUUGAAAUCUUUUGGGAUCUUCCCGCGCAGGUUCGAAUUCUGCCAACAACG